rnacentral:sRNA from 1 species
GCCUGGCACAGUGGCGGAUGCCUGUAAUCCCAGCAAUUUGGGAGGCUGAGGUAGGAGGAUCUCGAGUUCAAAGCCAGUCUCAGAAACUUAGUGAGGCACUUAGCAACUCAGAAAGACCCUGUCUCUA